CACGUCGCAGCACACGCGUCAGGGUCACAGGACAACUUGGGGGAUUAAAAGCCACUCGGGUCGUCAGGUUUGGUAGCAAACGCGUCCACCUCCUUAGCCAUGUCUCUAAUCUGAGCAGUCCCUCUUCCCUCACCCAUUGGAAGGUGGAAUGAAAUGCUUGGAUACUGUUUUCACUUUGUAUCAAAUACUAUCACGGCUGGGGGUGCCUACUCGCCAUUGCUAUGCAAACUACCUGAGAAAAACUCACUUAAGGAGGAAAGGUUUGUCUGGACUCAGGACUGCAAGGGUAUUGAUCAGGGGUCGGCUUGCUUCAUGCUCUGGAGUAAAGACAGAGCAGAACAUCAGAGUGGUAAGGGGCUGUGAUGAUGAAUGCUUCGAACCUCAAGAAAGAAGCGAGAGGGGAGAAUCCAGGGACAAAAAUACCCCGUUCAGAGGCACGCUCCCAGUGACCCUGCUCCCUCCAGCUCAGCUGUGAACUCAGCCUUGUCUGUCUGUCUUGACGAGACUGACCCCCCUGUCCAUACAAUCGGUAUAAAGUAUAACGUGGAAUUGAUCUGGGAACCAACCCUAGGUAACAGCCUGGGCCCCGGCGUGCCGGUGAGUGAACGUGCUGGGCUCUCUGGGAACUCAUGCCCUCUUUGUAUUCCUCAGGUUGCCCAUCAGAGAAUCCUCAUGCCUUAACCAUCAGCCCUUUUAAAGCGUUCUCUCCUCAGCCACCAAAGUUCUUCAAACCCCUAAUGCCUGU
rnacentral:lncRNA from 1 species